rnacentral:rRNA from 1 species
UUGAACGCUGGCGGCAGGCCUAACACCUGCAAGUCGAGCGGAUGAAGGGAGCUUGCUCCUGGAUUCAGCGGCGGACGGGUGAGUAAUGCCUAGGAAUCUGCCUGGUAGUGGGGGAUAACGUCCGGAAACGGGCGCUAAUACCGCAUACGUCCUGAGGGAGAAAGUGGGGGAUCUUCGGACCUCACGCUAUCAGAUGAGCCUAGGUCGGAUUAGCUAGUUGGUGGGGUAAAGGCCUACCAAGGCGACGAUCCGUAACUGGUCUGAGAGGAUGAUCAGUCACACUGGAACUGAGACACGGUCCAGACUCCUACGGGAGGCAGCAGUGGGGAAUAUUGGACAAUGGGCGAAGGCCUGAUCCAGCCAUGCCGCGUGUGUGAAGAAGGUCUUCGGAUUGUAAAGCACUUUAAGUUGGGAGGAAGGGCAGUAAGUUAAUACCUUGCUGUUUUGACGUUACCAACAGAAUAAGCACCGGCUAACUUCGUG